rnacentral:rRNA from 1 species
AGCCUGUUUAUCAAAAACAUUUCUUUUUGGUGUUUUAAAAGGUAAGGCCUGCCCACUGAUGUUUUGAAGGGCCGCGGUAUUAUGACCGUGCUAAGGUAGCAUAAUCAUUAGUUUCUUAAUUAGAAAAUGGAAUGAAUGGCUAAACCUUGAAAUUUUUUAUUAGACUAAAUAUUUUGAAUUUUAGAAAAAAGUGAAAACGCUUAAUUACUUUUAAAAGACGAUAAGACCCUAUAGAGCUUAAUACUUUGUUUUAUAAAAAUUUUAGGGGGAAAAAUUUUUAUAAAACAAAGUAUUUAGUUGGGGCAACUUUAGAAUAAAUGAAACUUCUAUUAAAAACUUAAAUUUUAAAUAUAAAAAAGUUACCUUAGGGAUAACAGCGUAAUAAUUUUUGAGAGUUCUAAUCGACAAAAUUGUUUGCGACCUCGAUGUUGAAUUAAAAAAUCUUUUGGGUGUAGCAGUUUAAAAAGACAGUCUGUUCGACUAAUAAAAUUUUACAUGAUUUGAGUUCAAACCGGCGAUUUGU